CACGUAGGGCGCAAGCGUUGUCCGGAAUUAUUGGGCGUAAAGAGCUCGUAGGUGGCUUGUCGCGUCUGCCGUGAAAGCCCGUGGCUUAACUCCGGGUCUGCGGUGGAUACGGGCAGGCUAGAGGCUGGUAGGGGCAAGCGGAAUUCCUGGUGUAGUGGUGAAAUGCGCAGAUAUCAGGAGGAACACCGGUGGCGAAGGCGGCUUGCUGGGCCAGUUCUGACGCUGAGGAGCGAAAGCGUGGGGAGCGAACAGG
rnacentral:rRNA from 1 species